UUACACCUGAUAGAUGUCUGCUCAUACCAGAUCGUCUUGA
rnacentral:tRNA from 1 species